ensembl:lncRNA
AAUAAGCCGAUUAGAACUUGCUAAUAGAUAACAGCCAUAAUAAGUACAACUAAUGUGCAACAAUUUAUUUUUUUACUAUGUCUGAAGAGGUGUGCCUUUAGUUUGCGGCAAAGAAUGUAAAGACUCUGCAAGCCGAGGCUGACAUAAGGACUGACACCCAAAACAGCGCGGGAGUUUCUGCUAGUGUGAAGGUGUUUGUUCACUACCCUCCUCUGGAAAUAAAAGUCUACCUCCACAACAAGUAAAGAUUCAAGACGACAGAGAGGCGACUCUGAAAGAAAAGGUUUGGAUAAAUCCAUCUGAGAGCAAUUACAGUCCACCGGCCAAUUGUCAAAAAAGCAAAGAAGCAUCGAUCAUCAUGGGGAAAGGGGAGAGCGACGAGAAGCACGGGGCCCCGAUUCAGACUCAGCCCCGCAAACACGAGGAGGACAAGAGCCCAUGCGGAGGCUGACCUUGAACAUCUGGACCAGUUUUUCCAGGCUGCAUUGAAUCUCAGCGUCCACCAGCGGCUUUAGUGUGAUUUAUGCCAUUUGGAGAUGAAAAUAUUCACUUUGAUUGUACGUUUGUACUACGUUUGAUCACCUAAUAAACUUGCUUUAUAACUCAAUCCAGGAGUCAAUAUUCGCACAAUUCACUAUCUGUGUAUAAAACAAACUAGAGAUUAUUUUCAUGAAUUGAUUGUCACUGUUUAAAAAUAUUAUAUGUGUC